UACGAAGGGGGCUAGCGUUGCUCGGAAUCACUGGGCGUAAAGCGCACGUAGGCGGCUUUCUAAGUCAGGGGUGAAAUCCUGGAGCUCAACUCCAGAACUGCCUUUGAUACUGGAGAGCUAGAGUCCGGAAGAGGUGAGUGGAACUGCGAGUGUAGAGGUGAAAUUCGUAGAUAUUCGCAAGAACACCAGUGGCGAAGGCAGUGUCCUGGCUGGCAUCUGACGCUGAGGCGCGAAAGCUAGGGGAGCGAACAGG
rnacentral:rRNA from 1 species